AUACGGAGGGUGCGAGCGUUGUUCGGAAUUACUGGGCGUAAAGCGGGUGUAGGCGGUGGAUCAAGUCAGAUGUGAAAGCCCUCGGCUCAACCGAGGAAGUGCAUCUGAAACUGGUUCACUAGAGUACGGGAGAGGAGAGUGGAAUUCCCAGUGUAGAGGUGAAAUUCGUAGAUAUUGGGAGGAACACCGGUGGCGAAGGCGGCUCUCUGGAACGAUACUGACGCUGAGACCCGAAAGCGUGGGGAGCAAAUAGGAUUAGAUACCCCGGUAGUCC
rnacentral:rRNA from 1 species